UACGCAGGGGGCUAGCGUUGCUCGGAAUCACUGGGCGUAAAGGGCGCGUAGGCGGCCAUUCAAGUCGGGGGUGAAAGCCUGUGGCUCAACCACAGAAUUGCCUUCGAUACUGUUUGGCUUGAGUAUGGUAGAGGUUGGUGGAACUGCGAGUGUAGAGGUGAAAUUCGUAGAUAUUCGCAAGAACACCGGUGGCGAAGGCGGCCAACUGGACCAUUACUGACGCUGAGGCGCGAAAGCGUGGGGAGCAAACAGG
rnacentral:rRNA from 1 species